CGGGAGCAGAGGUUGGAGUGAUACAAAGGGCUCCACAGAAGCUGGAAAAGGCCGAGAACAGACUUUACCCUAGAGCCGGGAUCUAGAAUGGUGGAGCAGCCACAUUGAGAACACGGAUGAUCACUGUGGAAGAGGAAGAAAUUCACGUGGUCACAUGGCAUUGGCACCUAAAGCUUCCUUCUCAAGAAAAAACCCUCACAUGUGGAGGUGGCAGCCGAGCAAAUCUGUGCAGGUAGAGUGGUUGACAGUGUCAGGAACCCCAAAGUGAAGAUGAACGAGACCACGUUGAGCACAAUGGGAUGAUAUGUGUUUGGCAGAACUUUGAGGGGGUUCUGACUUUGACCUCGUCCCUGAGAU